UCAAAUUUACACCGUAACUUCGGGAGAAGGUGUGCCGCUGGCGGUUAGUGACUUCGCGUCACGAAGCUGUCGGUGGUCGCAGUGAAAUGGCGGUUGUGACUGUUUACUAAAAACACAGGACUCUGCGAAGUCGUAAGACGACGUAUAGGGUCUGAUGCCUGCCCGGUGCUGGAAGGUUAAGGGGAUAUGUCAGCGCAAGCGAAGCAUUGAACCGAAGCCCCAGUAAACGGCGGCCGUAACGAUAACGGUCCUAAGGUAGCGAAAUUCCUUGUCGGGUAAGUUCCGACCUGCACGAAGGGCAUAACAACAUCCGCACUGUCUCGACCAGGGACUCAGCGAAAUUACAUUGGGGGUGAAGAUGCCCUCUACCCGCGGAAAGACGGAAAGACCCCGUGAACCUUUACUGCAACUUGGCAGUGAUUUUCGGGUUGUUCUGCGUAGGAUAGGUGGGAGGCUUUGAAGUCGGGCUUCCGGGUUCGACUGAGCCAACGUUGAAAUACCACCCUGAAUAAUCUGGAAAUCUAACCUGCGCCCAUGAUCUGGGCGAGGGACACUGCCUGGUGGGCAGUUUGACUGGGGCGGUCGCCUCCUAAAUUGUAACGGAGGCGUGCGACGGUUCCCUCAGGCUGAUUGGAAACCAGCCGUAGAGUGCAAACGCAUAAGGGAGCUUUACUGCGAGACUGACAAGUCGAACAGUUGCGAAAGCAGGUGUUAGUGAUCCGGUGGUACCACAUGGAAGGGCCAUCGCUCAUCGGAUAAAAGGUACUCUGGGGAUAACAGGCUGAUCGCGCCUGAGAGUUCACAUCGGCGGCGCGGUUUGGCACCUCGAUGUCGGCUCAUCGCAUCCUGGGGCUGGAGCAGGUCCCAAGGGUUUGGCUGUUCGCCAAUUAAAGCGGUACGCGAGCUGGGUUUAAAACGUCGUGAGACAGUUUGGUCCCUAUCUUCCGUGGGCGCAGGACACUUGAGAGGAGCUAUCCAUAGUACGAGAGGACCUGGAUGGACGAACCUCUGGUGCUCCGGUUGUCACGCCAGUGGCAUAGCCGGGUAGCCAUGUUCGGAACAGAUAACCGCUGAAGGCAUAUAAGCGGGAAGCUGGCCUCAAGACUAGGUGUCCCUGACGCAAGUCACUAAAGGCCCCUCGAAGACUACGAGGUUGAUAGGCUCGGUGUGGAAGCGCUGCAAGGCGCGGAGCUAACGAGUACUAAUAGGCCGUGCGACUUGACCCC
rnacentral:rRNA from 1 species